rnacentral:piRNA from 1 species
UNGUUGCUCUGACUUCAAGUCAUGGCCUUCU